rnacentral:rRNA from 1 species
UAGGAUAGGUGGGAGGCUUAGAAGUGUGGACGCCAGUCUGCAUGGAGCCGACCUUGAAAUACCACCCUUUAAUGUUUGAUGUUCUAACGUUGACCCGUGAUCCGGGUUGCGGACAGUGUCUGGUGGGUAGUUUGACUGGGGCGGUCUCCUCCUAAAGAGUAACGGAGGAGCACGAAGGUUGGCUAAUCCUGGUCGGACAUCAGGAGGUUAGUGCAAUGGCAUAAGCCAGCUUGACUGCGAGCGUGACGGCGCGAGCAGGUGCGAAAGCAGGUCAUAGUGAUCCGGUGGUUCUGAAUGGAAGGGCCAUCGCUCAACGGAUAAAAGGUACUCCGGGGAUAACAGGCUGAUACCGCCCAAGAGUUCAUAUCGACGGCGGUGUUUGGCACCUCGAUGUCGGCUCAUCACAUCCUGGGGCUGAAGUAGGUCCCAAGGGUAUGGCUGUUCGCCAUUUAAAGUGGUACGCGAGCUGGGUUUAGAACGUCGUGAGACAGUUCGGUCCCUAUCUGCCGUGGGCGCUGGAGAACUGAGGGGGGCUGCUCCUAGUACGAGAGGACCGGAGUGGACGCAUCACUGGUGUUCGGGUUGUCAUGCCAAUGGCACUGCCCGGUAGCUAAAUGCGGAAGAGAUAAGUGCUGAAAGCAUCUAAGCACGAAACUUGCCCCGAGAUGAGUUCUCCCUGACUCCCUGAGAGUCCUGAAGGAACGUUGAAGACGACGACGUUGAUAGGCCGGGUGUGUAAGCGCAGCGAUGCGUUGAGCU